rnacentral:rRNA from 1 species
AUUGAACGCUGGCGGCAUGCCUUACACAUGCAAGUCGAACGGCAGCACGGGAGCAAUCCUGGUGGCGAGUGGCGAACGGGUGAGUAAAGCAUCGGAACGUGCCCAGUCGUGGGGGAUAACGUAGCGAAAGCUACGCUAAUACCGCAUACGAUCUGUGGAUGAAAGCGGGGGACCGUAAGGCCUCGCGCGAUUGGAGCGGCCGAUGUCAGAUUAGGUAGUUGGUGGGGUAAAGGCUCACCAAGCCGACGAUCUGUAGCUGGUCUGAGAGGACGACCAGCCACACUGGGACUGAGACACGGCCCAGACUCCUACGGGAGGCAGCAGUGGGGAAUUUUGGACAAUGGGCGCAAGCCUGAUCCAGCAAUGCCGCGUGCAGGAUGAAGGCCUUCGGGUUGUAAACUGCUUUUGUACGGAGCGAAAAGGCUUCCACUAAUACUGGGGGCUCAUGACAGUACCGUAAGAAUAAGCACCGGCUAACUACGUGCCAGCCGCCGCAGUAA